rnacentral:misc_RNA from 1 species
UCAUUAAAUAUUAUAAAUUAAAUUAUAAAAUUUAGUAUAUAAAUUAAACUAAAAAAAAUAUAUAAAGAUAACUGGAAACAUACAUUCCUUUAUUGAUUCAUUUUUCACAGUACAUUGCACCUUUUCUCAACAACCUACAUUCCAUAUAUAUGUACAUAUUCCAUCAUAAAUUAGCAUCGAAAGCCUACAUGAUACACAAACUCCUACUCAAAUCUAAUACACACCCAUCUUAAUACAUCAUUUUCUUUUCUUUUCUUUUUAAUCCUUCGUCUUUCUUUCUUGGGAACUUAAUCAUUUCACUUAUUUCUUUUCUUUUUAUAUAUAUACAACAUGGGGUUUUAGUUUGCUUUGCCACACCGGCCUCCUAUCACAAAGGCUCUGAUGUGAGUGACCACCCUGG